AAGAAAAAAAAGUUAGCUUUGCUUGUUAGAUUCGAUUGGAUUUCAACACCUGGUCUGGGACCAACUACAGAAAGAUUUUCAUGAUCUCUGACCACUCCCCAUAUAUUACAGGUUGAGGCUGUUUACCCUCCUGAGGUGUGAAAUUUCUUCUCUGUUCAACUGUUUUACCUCCAGCAAAACAUAAGCUUCUUGAGGUAAGGGCUUCUCAUUUUCUUUUUGUCUUCUUGUGGUUUGUAUAUAUUUUCCUGAAGCCUGUUCACUUCCCACCUGUCAGUUGUUGAGGAUAUUUCCUCCAGCUAUGACACUGGAUUUCUUUGUCUGUUUAACUGUUUUAUUGCCAGCGAAACCUAAGUUUGUUGAGGUAGAGACUUCUCAUCUUGGUUUUUGUUCCUGUAUCUUGUAUAUUGUAGGCCUUCAAUACUUAGAUUUGCUUCUUUGCUUUGGAUUCCACCCACAUGUCAGUUACCACCUCCAGGACUGGAUUGGAUGUCACCAAAUGGUCCGUUAUACCUUCCCUGAAGCUUUUCCUGAUCUCUGUCUUUACCCUGCCUCUUCCUGGUUCAGGCUAUCUCCCUCUGAGAGUCACAUAGGCUUUGUUUCUCUGUUCAACUGUUUCAUCUCCAACAAAUCAGAAGCGUCUUGAGGUAAGGCCUUCUCAUUUUCCUUUUCUUUUUCCUCUGUGUUUUGUAUACAUUUUUCGGAAGUCUGUUCACUCCCUACCUGCCAGUUCUUGAGGUUUCCUCCCUCCUACUUUGACACUGGAUUUCCUUGUUUUAUAGCCAGUAAAAUCUGUUUAAUGAGGUAGGGUUUACUUAUCUUGAUUUUGCUUUCCAGUACCUUGUAUACAGUAGGCAUUCAAUAGUGAGAUUUGCUUGUGGAUAAAAUUGGAUUCCACCAACUGGUCUAGGACCACCUAUGGAACCUGACCUCUUUCCUGUCCCACAUAUCACUGGUUGAGGCUGUUUCCCUCCUGCUGUGAUAGCAGAUUUAUUUACCUGUUUAACUGUAUUAUUGCCAAUAAAUUAUAAAUGUCUUCAGAUAAGUACCCCUCCUCGUGGUUUUUCGUUUUGCUUCCUUGUAUAUUGAAGGACUGAUCAAUAUUUGGAUUUACUUGAUGGAUUGGUUUGGAUUUCGCCAACUCUCCUGAGACCAUUUUCGGAUUGCUUUAACAGAUCUCUUAUCUCCUCCUUGCUUUUCACUGAUUGGGGCAGGAUUCCUCCAGCUGUGACACAGGAUUUCCUUCUCUGUUUAACUGUUCUGUUGUCAGCAUAACUAAAGUUUGUGAAGGUAGGGCCUUCGCAUCAUGUCUUUUCUUUCCUCUGCCUUGUAUAGAGUAGACUUUGAAUACUGAGAUUUGUUUGUUCAAUUGGUUUGGAUUCCACGAGCUCUCUCGGGAGACCAUUUUCAGAUUGCUUUAACAGAUCUCUAUCUCCUCCUUGCUUUUCAUUGGUUGGGGCUGUUUCCCUCCUGCUGAGAUGCUAGGUUUUCUUUUCUGUUUAACUGUUUAAUUGGAAGCAUAACUGAAGUUUCUUUAGGUAUGGCCCUCUUGUCCUGUUUAUUUUUUUUUUCCUGUGGCCUGUACACAAUAGGCUUUAACUAUUUCGAUUUACUUUUAGGAUUGGUUUGGAUUCUACCAACUCUUCAGAGAUCAUGAAAGGAAUGAUUUUCUUGAUCUCUAUCCCCUCCUUAUAUUUCUCUGUUUGGGGCUGUUUCCCUUCUGCUGUCAUCCUCCAUUUCCUUGUAUACAUGUUCCUGAAGCUUGUGUACUUCACAACUGUCAGUUAUUGAGGUUUCUUCCCUCCUGCCUCCACACUGUACUUCCUUGUCUGUUUACCAGGAUUUUUUGGUCAACAUCACUUAAGUUUGUGAAGGUAGGGCCUUCACAUCAUGUCUUUUCUUUCCUCUGCCUUGUAUAGAGUAGAUGUUGAGUACUGAGAUGGGCUCGUUCAAUUGGUUUUUAUUCCACCAGCUCCCCAAUACCAUUUUCGGAUUGCUUUUCCUGAUUUUAUCUGCUCCUUACUUUUCACUGUAUAGGCUGGGUCCUUCUUUCUGUGAUACAGAAUUUCCUUGUCAGUUUAACAGUUUUAUUGUCAGCAUAAUGUACGUUUGUGUAGGUAGGGUCUUCUCAUUCAGACUUUUCUUUGCUGGGUCUUGUAUACAGUUGAUUUUGAAUAAUGAGACUUGCUCGUUCAAUUGUUUUAUAUUCCACCAGCUCUCCUGAGACCAUUUUCAGAUUGGUUUUCCUGAUCUCUGUCUCUGCUUUACAUUUCACUGGUUGGGGCUGGAUUCCUUCUGCUCUGAAAUUGGAUUCCCUUAUCUGUUAAUUAUUUUAUUGUCAGCAUUACUUAAGUAUCUUGAGGUAGGUCCCUUUUGUCUUGUUUUUUGUUUGUUUUUUUUUUUCCUCUGGUCCUUGUACACAAUACACUUUGAAUACUGUGAUUUUCUUGUUAAAUUGCUUUGGAUUCUACCAAUUGUUCUGAGAACAUUUAUAAAUUCCUUUUCCUGAUCUCUAUCGCCUCCUAAGAUUUCACUGUUUGGGGCUGUUCCCUGUUCCAACUGUUCCCUGCUGCUGUGACAUUGGAUUUCCUUGCCUGUUUAACUGUUUUAUUGUCAGGUUAACUGAAGUUUGUGAAGGUAGGUUCUUCUCAUUGUGACGCUUCUUUGAUGUGUCUUGUAUACAGUGGACUUUGAACAAUGAGAUUUGCUCGUUCAAUUGGUUUUUAUUCCACCAGCUUCCCGGAGACCAUUUUUGGAUUGCUUUUCCUGAUUUUAAUCCACUCCUUACAGUUCACUGUUUAGGCUGGGUCCUUCUUGCUGUGAUACAGAAUUUCCUUGUCUUUUUAAACAGUUUUAUUGUCAGCAUAAUGUACGUUUGUGUAGGUAGGGUCUUCUCAUCGUGAUUUUUCUUUGCUGUGUCUUGUAUAUAGUUGAUUUGAAAUAAUGAGAUUUACUCAUUCAAUUGUUUUUUAUUCCACCAGCUCUCCUGAGACCAUUUUCAGAUUGGUUUUCCUGAUCUCUGUCUCUGCUUUACAUUUCACUGGUUGGGGCUGGAUCCCUUCUGCUGUGACACUGGAUUCCCUUGUCUGUUAAUUAUUUUCUUGUCAGCAUUACUUAAGUAUCUUGAGGUAGGUCCCUUUCUUCUUGUUUUUUUUUUCCCCUGGUCCUUGUACACAAGACACUUUGAAUACUUCGAUUUUCUUGUUAAAUUGAUUUGGAUUCUACCAAUUGUUCUGAGAACAUUUAUGAAUUCUUUUUCCUGAUCUCUAUUGCCUCCUAAGAUUUCACUGUUUGGGGCUGUUCCCUGUUCCCACUGU